GAUACCCUGUUAUUUAAAAUGUAAAUUUAAAAAUUAAAGUAGUAUUAGAUAUGUUCUUGAAACUUAAAGAAUUUGGCGGUAUUUUAGUCUAUUCAGAGGAACCUGUUCUAUAAUCGAUAUUCCACGUUGAAUCUUACUUAAAUUUGUUUUAAUUUGUAUACCGCUGUUAUAGAAUAUUUUAUAAGAAAAAUAAUUUUCAAUAAUUUAUAUAAAAAUUAAUGUCAAGUCAAGGUGCAGUUUAUGUUUAAGAAGAAAUGGGUUACAAUAGUAUUAUUUAUUACGAAUAUAAAAUUUAAAUAUUUUAUUGAAGGUGGAUUUGAUAGUAAUUUUUUAAAGAUUAUAGAUUUGAUUUUAGCUCUAAAAUAUGCACAAAUCGCCCGUC
rnacentral:rRNA from 1 species